GCAGUUCCUUGCCAAUUUUUGAUAGCAUUGCGUUCAUCCACUUUCUCAGGCAGGGACUACAGGAAAUGAAGGUGAACUUGUGGAGAUUUUGGAGAGAAUUUAAUGAAGAGGCUGUUUACCAAGGAUCUCUGUCUGUCUCCGAGGCUGGAGUGCAAUGUUGCAAUCAGGACUCACUGCAGCCUCGACCUCCUGGGCUCAACUGAUCUUCCUACUACAGCCUCAUGAGUAACUGGGACUACAGAUAGUAUCCCAUGAUAUGAAUGGUCCUGGAUUUACUUACACAUCCUCCUUUUGAUGAGCAAGUAAGUGGUUUCCAAUUUUUUCCACUAUUAUACAGAAUACACAAAUGAAUAUCCUUGCACUUACAUGAUUUUUUUCUUAAAAUAAAUUCUUACAAGUGCAAUUCUUUG
rnacentral:sRNA from 1 species